rnacentral:rRNA from 1 species
GCGUUGUUGGGUAGGGGAGCGUUCUGUAAGCCUGUGAAGGUGUGCUGUGAGGCAUGCUGGAGGUAUCAGAAGUGCGAAUGCUGACAUAAGUAACGAUAAAGCGGGUGAAAAGCCCGCUCGCCGGAAGACCAAGGGUUCCUGUCCAACGUUAAUCGGGGCAGGGUGAGUCGACCCCUAAGGCGAGGCCGAAAGGCGUAGUCGAUGGGAAACAGGUUAAUAUUCCUGUACUUGGUGUUACUGCGAAGGGGGGACGGAGAAGGCUAUGUUGGCCGGGCGACGGUUGUCCCGGUUUAAGCGUGUAGGCUGGUUUUCCAGGCAAAUCCGGAAAAUCAAGGCUGAGGCGUGAUGACGAGGCACUACGGUGCUGAAGCAACAAAUGCCCUGCUUCCAGGAAAAGCCUCUAAGCAUCAGGUAACAUCAAAUCGUACCCCAAACCGACACAGGUGGUCAGGUAGAGAAUACCAAGGCGCUUGAGAGAACUCGGGUGAAGGAACUAGGCAAAAUGGUGCCGUAACUUCGGGAGAAGGCACGCUGAUAUGUAGGUGAAGUCCCUCGCGGAUGGAGCUGAAAUCAGUCGAAGAUACCAGCUGGCUGCAACUGUUUAUUAAAAACACAGCACUGUGCAAACACGAAAGUGGACGUAUACGGUGUGACGCCUGCCCGGUGCCGGAAGGUUAAUUGAUGGGGUCAGCGCAAGCGAAGCUCUUGAUCGAAGCCCCGGUAAACGGCGGCCGUAACUAUAACGGUCCUAAGGUAGCGAAAUUCCUUGUCGGGUAAGUUCCGACCUGCACGAAUGGCGUAAUGAUGGCCAGGCUGUCUCCACCCGAGACUCAGUGAAAUUGAACUCGCUGUGAAGAUGCAGUGUACCCGCGGCAAGACGGAAAGACCCCGUGAACCUUUACUAUAGCUUGACACUGAACAUUGAGCCUUGAUGUGUAGGAUAGGUGGGAGGCUUAGAAGUGUGGACGCCAGUCUGCAUGGAGCCGACCUUGAAAUACCACCCUUUAAUGUUUGAUGUUCUAACGUUGACCCGUAAUCCGGGUUGCGGACAGUGUCUGGUGGGUAGUUUGACUGGGGCGGUCUCCUCCUAAAGAGUAACGGAGGAGCACGAAGGUUGGCUAAUCCUGGUCGGACAUCAGGAGGUUAGUGCAAUGGCAUAAGCCAGCUUGACUGCGAGCGUGACGGCGCGAGCAGGUGCGAAAGCAGGUCAUAGUGAUCCGGUGGUUCUGAAUGGAAGGGCCAUCGCUCAACGGAUAAAAGGUACUCCGGGGAUAACAGGCUGAUACCGCCCAAGAGUUCAUAUCGACGGCGGUGUUUGGCACCUCGAUGUCGGCUCAUCACAUCCUGGGGCUGAAGUAGGUCCCAAGGGUAUGGCUGUUCGCCAUUUAAAGUGGUACGCGAGCUGGGUUUAGAACGUCGUGAGACAGUUCGGUCCCUAUCUGCCGUGGGCGCUGGAGAACUGAGGGGGGCUGCUCCUAGUACGAGAGGACCGGAGUGGACGCAUCACUGGUGUUCGGGUUGUCAUGCCAAUGGCACUGCCCGGUAGCUAAAUGCGGAAGAGAUAAGUGCUGAAAGCAUCUAAGCACGAAACUUGCCCCGAGAUGAGUUCU